ACUCCUACGGGAGGCAGCAGUGGGGAAUAUUGCACAAUGGGCGCAAGCCUGAUGCAGCCAUGCCGCGUGUAUGAAGAAGGCCUUCGGUUGUAAAGUACUUCUAGCAGUGAGGAAGGUGGGUAGUGUUAAUAGCAUACUCAUUUGUACGUUAGCUGCAGAAGAAGCACCGGCUAACUCCGUGCCAGCAGCCGCGGUAAUACGGAGGGUGCGAGCGUAAUCGGAAUUACUGGGCGUAAAGCGCAUGCAGGUGGUUUGUUAAGUCAGAUGUGAAAGCCGGGGCUCAACCUCGGAAUUGCAUUUGAAACUGGCAAACUAGAGUACUGUAGAGGGGGUAGAAUUUCAGGUGUAGCGGUGAAAUGCGUAGAGAUCUGAAGGAAUACCGGUGGCGAAGGCGGCCCCCUGGACAGAUACUGACACUCAGAUGCGAAAGCGUGGGGA
rnacentral:rRNA from 1 species